rnacentral:rRNA from 6 species
AACUUCUGAAUGUUGACCUCGGAUCAGGUAGGAAUACCCGCUGAACUUAAGCAUAUCAAUAAGCGGAGGAAAAGAAACCAACAGGGAUUGCCCUAGUAACGGCGAGUGAAGCGGCAACAGCUCAAAUUUGAAAUCUGGCUCUCGGGCCCGAGUUGUAAUUUGUAGAGGAUGCUUUUGAUGCGGUGCCUUCCGAGUUCCCUGGAACGGGACGCCAUAGAGGGUGAGAGCCCCGUCUGGUUGGAUGCCAAAUCUCUGUAAAGCUCCUUCGACGAGUCGAGUAGUUUGGGAAUGCUGCUCUAAAUGGGAGGUAUAUGUCUUCUAAAGCUAAAUACCGGCCAGAGACCGAUAGCGCACAAGUAGAGUGAUCGAAAGAUGAAAAGCACUUUGAAAAGAGAGUUAAAAAGUACGUGAAAUUGUUGAAAGGGAAGCGUUUAUGACCAGACUUGGGCUUGGAUAAUCAUCUGGGGUUCUCUCCAGUGCACUUUUCCAGUCCAGGCCAGCAUCAGUUUUCGCCGGGGGAUAAAGGCUUCGGGAAUGUGGCUCUCUCCGGGGAGUGUUAUAGCCCGUUGCGUAAUACCCUGGCGGGGACUGAGGUUCGCGCAUCUGCAAGGAUGCUGGCGUAAUGGUCAUCAACGACCCGUCU